rnacentral:rRNA from 1 species
UCGAGAAUCUUCCACAAUGGGCGAAAGCCUGAUGGAGCGAUGCCGCGUGUAGGAUGAAGGCUCUUGGGUCGUAAACUACUUUUAUGAGGGAGGAAUUUUUGACGUUACCUCAUGAAUAAGAGGCUCCUAAUCCCGUGCCAGCAGGAGCGGUCAUACGGAAGCCUCAAGCGUUACCCGGAAUCACUGGGCGUAAAGGGUGUGUAGGCGGUUAUGUUAGUCUUUUGUGAAAGCCCGGGGCUCAACCUCGGAUCCGCAGAGGAUACGGCAUAACUGGAGGAUGAGAGAGGUGUACAGAACUCACGGUGUAGGGGUGAAAUCCGUUGAUAUCGUGGGGAAUACCAAAUGCGAAGGCAGUACACUAGCUCAUUCCUGACGCUGAAACACGAAAGCGUGGGUAGCG